rnacentral:rRNA from 1 species
AACGAACGCUGGCGGCAUGCCUAACACAUGCAAGUCGAACGAGACCUUCGGGUCUAGCGGCGCACGGGUGCGUAACGCGUGGGAACCUGCCCUUAGGUUCGGAAUAACUCCCCGAAAGGGGUGCUAAUACCGGAUAAUGUCUUCGGACCAAAGAUUUAUCGCCUUUGGAUGGGCCCGCGUUGGAUUAGCUAGUUGGUAGGGUAAAAGCCUACCAAGGCGACGAUCCAUAGCUGGUCUGAGAGGAUGAUCAGCCACACUGGGACUGAGACACGGCCCAGACUCCUACGGGAGGCAGCAGUGGGGAAUAUUGGACAAUGGGCGAAAGCCUGAUCCAGCAAUGCCGCGUGAGUGAUGAAGGCCUUAGGGUUGUAAAGCUCUUUUACCCGGGAUGAUAAUGACAGUACCGGGAAAAUAAGCUCCGGCUAACUCCGUG